GACGAACGCUGGCGGCGUGCGUAACACAUGCAAGUCGAACGGAAAGGCCCUGCUUUUGUGGGGUGCUCGAGUGGCGAACGGGUGAGUAACACGUGAGUAACCUGCCCUUGACUUUGGGAUAACUUCAGGAAACUGGGGCUAAUACCGGAUAGGAGCUCCUGCUGCAUGGUGGGGGUUGGAAAGUUUCGGCGGUUGGGGAUGGACUCGCGGCUUAUCAGCUUGUUGGUGGGGUAGUGGCUUACCAAGGCUUUGACGGGUAGCCGGCCUGAGAGGGUGACCGGCCACAUUGGGACUGAGAUACGGCCCAGACUCCUACGGGAGGCAGCAGUGGGGAAUAUUGCACAAUGGGCGGAAGCCUGAUGCAGCAACGCCGCGUGCGGGACGACGGCCUUCGGGUUGUAAACCGCUUUCGCCUGUGACGAAGCGUGAGUGACGGUAAUGGGUAAAGAAGCACCGGCUAACUACGUG
rnacentral:rRNA from 1 species